rnacentral:rRNA from 1 species
GAAUAUUGGACAAUGGGCGAAAGCCUGAUCCAGCAAUGCCGCGUGAGUGAUGAAGGCCUUAGGGUUGUAAAGCUCUUUUACCCGGGAUGAUAAUGACAGUACCGGGCGAAUAAGCCCCGGCUAACUCCGUGCCAGCAGCCGCGGUAAUACGGAGGGGGCUAGCGUUAUUCGGAAUUACUGGGCGUAAAGCGCACGUAGGCGGCUUUGUAAGUUAGAGGUGAAAGCCCAGAGCUCAACUCUGGAAUUGCCUUUAAGACUGCAUCGCUUGAAUGAUGGAGAGGUGAGUGGAAUUCCGAGUGUAGAGGUAAAAUUCGUAGAUAGUCGGAAGAACACCAGUGGCGAAGGCGGCUCACUGGACAUGUAUUGACGCUGAGGUGCGAAAGCGUGGGGAGCAAACAGG